rnacentral:sRNA from 1 species
AGGUGGACAUCGUGCUUCGGGCCAGAGGGGAGAGGCGCUGGCGGCAGCGGGGCCGCGAGGCUGGCUCCCUGGGCGGCGCGGAGCUCGCUUCUGCGGGGAGUCUGACAGCCCGGGGCUGGCCGCCGGCCCCGCCGCGCCGGCUCUGUCCCGGCGCACAAAGCUGCGCGCCUCGCAGCCGCCCUCCGCCAGGCUUUGCACUCCCGA